GACCAGCCUGCAUAUUAUAUUUACUUGGUAUUUCAAGAAACAGCAACAACCCAGAUCUGCUAUAUAUUUAUUAAAGUUUUGUUAACCGGAAGAGGUGGAUCUGUGAUGGAGGAGGAGGACAAGUGCCACUCAGAGCGGAAGCGGUUUCGAGAGGAGUUUGACCGUCGUAGAUCGAGUGCAAUGGAGGAGGACAAGUUGUACUUGGCGUUAAAGCGGGUUGCAGAGGAGUAUGACUCAAAACGUAAUUGAUGAGAUUCAUGAAUAUAUGCUAAGCAAGGUACCCCCUAUUCCUGUUCCUCCUCAACUGCAUUCCCAAAAUCAUGGAGCCAAAAGAAAGCACGGCACAGGCGGCACAGGCAGCAGCGGCGGCAACAACGGCUCUGUCGUCAAUGUUAUUGGGAAUACAUUUCAUGCUAUCAAUUCCAACGGAGUACGAUUUUUGGAUUCUAUGAAUGAGGCCUUCAAACCCAAGAAAGCAAAACGGAGUUGGCUUUGGUGAAGAAAGCAAAACGGAGUUGGCUUUGGUGAAGAAAGCAAAACUGGACGACCAUGUUUAGGAUGCGAAUUCUCCAGCCCAACACUUAUGUUUUAGUCCACCGUUGGUUGUGUAGGUAAGAAUAAGCAGUUAGGCUCAAUAUGAGUUGCCCUCCAGCCUUAAUCAUUCGGUUUUUAUUUUAAUUUUGUUGUUGUCGAAAUUCGGUUUUUAUUAAGUUUAAUCUAUGGUGUCCCACUGCAU
rnacentral:lncRNA from 1 species